ensembl:lncRNA
CUAAACUGUAUUUCGUAUACAAACGUUUGUUGAAAAAACGCAUUUGAACAUAUCACUUUUCUCUCAAGUAGCUAGGCUACAUGAUGCAGGUAAUCAAAUAUUUUCUUAUUAGCACUAUGACGUCAAAACAUCUUUAAAAAAUACUAACAACGAUUUCAAAAUCAUAAGUCACAUGCCCUGCCUCCUUGGUAUCAGCCAACCGGUCUAGACAAUGAAUGUCUCUUUACAUAAUAGAACCUUACUGUGAUACAAAUGAAGUUAAACCUGUAUUGCUUGUAAUGGGAAGUUUCACAAUGUGACAUAUGACGGUUAAUGUGAAACCUCUAAAGACAAAGACUCACCACUUCACAAGAAGGCAAAGAGAGACACAUGUUGUACAUAUUAGGGAUUACCAUUGGCCUUAUGUUCAUCAUAAUGUGCCUUUCAAAUGGACUGAAAGAGGUGAGUUCUUAAUGCGUUUUUCUAACCAUAACAAAACUAGUAUUAUCUUAUUUAAAACAGUUUUUAAAUCCUAAUAUUAUACGAUUCCGUCAUAAAAUGGUUCAAAAUUGGUAUUUGUACAUCAAAUGUCUUCUAAGAGAUCGAAUCUCAAGAAGACACAUUUUCGUGUGCUCCCAUUUGGCCGAACGUUUUGAGCCCCAUUGUUCACGGGUAAAAUGUCAAUAUUAUGUUAUUCGCAGUGACAGUUCUGUAAUUUUAUUCUUUAACUUCACACUUCCUGGAUAACCGAGCCCUAAUUUAGCCUAUCAACCAAGGUUCGAAUUACGGGGGGGAUUGAAUGUCUUUAUAGUUUCGGUGUACCUGGUGGUGGGGGACUUUAAUUAAUGAUACUCAAAAGACGCACUAGUGACGUAUGCGGCAAAAGUUGGACAGCAGGUAAGAUGUUGUGAUGCUCUCUCCCUUCAAUGGAGUCUUGUUUAAGCUGCCACGUUUAAAAAUAAUUUAUUCUGGCUUAUACUGCAUGGAAGUGUAACGAUAGGAAAUUACUAACGUGUUCCUGAGUAUUGCCAUUGGUUAUGGUCGGCAAAAACGGACGUAAAUUACUUCUGUCAAAUCUGUCGGAGGUUUCCCUCCAUUUGAAUAUUUUUCGACGCUGUGUGCCUAUGGCUUGGCAUUUCAGCCCAGGAGAGUCAACCCAAACCUCUGUGGUACAUUUAUUAAGUUACGACUGAUUUGAUAGAAUAUUUUACAUUAGGCUACUUUGAAGACUGAAACAUAACCGGCAUAGACCAGCCCAAAAUCCUUACCUUAAAAAUAGUCAAGGUAAGGACAAAUAUUAAUUAUUGGGUGGUCUAUGCCAAUAAUGUAAGUCAGGCAAUGGCCUAGAUGCUGUAUGGUAGUAACAGAUGGUGUAUCUGCCUACCUCUUUGGCAUUUUGAUAGUGUCCUUGGUUCUGGUAUUGUGUGGGUCUGUUUUUGAGCAGAAAUUAUGGUUUGCUGGUCUGCAGAAAUGUGUGGAGGGGGGCUGACUUGCUGCCAGUUUUGCACUAGGAUACUUUUUUGGUGACCCCUGACAACAAAGGUUGUGUGGUUUGUGCCCCAUGAGCUUGGGUAGUGGAUUGGAUUUAUCAUCAUCUGCAGACAUUAUGUUAAACAAGCAAGAUACUGUAAGGAUUGUAAGAUUUCAGUUCACUGAAGCGCACACCUGCACUCUACUGGGGUUUUCCUUUACGCACUGGAGAAAAUAUUUUCAGUUGUGGUAUGGAAAAUGUGUUUCCUUCGCUUAACAUGGAUGCAGUGUAAGAGUGACCUGUGCAUUUUGUAUGAUAUGAACUGUCAAAGCAGUUUAGAAAUGAUCCACCACUAUGAAAGCUCUACAAAAUUGCCGAACUGUUUCUCAAUUAAUUAUAGAAAGAUGAUUUUGUUUCUAUCUGCUGCCUUGAAAUAGACUCUGACAUUAAAUGGGAUUAUUGUUCUCCUACAGCAUGCAUGCCAUAGUGAAGUUUACUGAAACAGUCACGUGUCAUAAUCGCUUCAGAUUAGGUAGGCUAUGUGUUUUGUGUAUAAUAUAAUAGUCAAUUGUAAACAAUUCUCCCCCGACCUCAUUUUCAUAUUAGGUGACCCCACAUGUGGUCACAACGCCUAGUUUGGGAACCUCUGCUCUAGUGGAACCUGUGCUCAGCCCAGCACUGUGUAUCUCUUUUGGCAUUCGCCAGAAAACACCGGAAUAGGCAGGUCCACCAUUGGCGCCCUGUUCUCUUUACAAAUGAAAGCAGUGCAGGACAAUGCCUGACCUCAUGUGGCCAGAGUUGAUGAUGAAGGCAUCGAUGCCAUUGACUGGCCCUCAUGUUUCCCAGACCUGAAUCCAAUUGAGAACCUCUGGAGCAGUG